AACGAACGCUGGCGGCAUGCCUAACACAUGCAAGUCGAACGAUGCUUUCGGGCAUAGUGGCGCACGGGUGCGUAACGCGUGGGAAUCUGCCCUUGGGUUCGGAAUAACAGUGAGAAAUUGCUGCUAAUACCGGAUGAUGUCUUCGGACCAAAGAUUUAUCGCCCAGGGAUGAGCCCGCGUAGGAUUAGCUAGUUGGUGGGGUAAUGGCCUACCAAGGCGACGAUCCUUAGCUGGUCUGAGAGGAUGAUCAGCCACACUGGGACUGAGACACGGCCCAGACUCCUACGGGAGGCAGCAGUGGGGAAUAUUGGACAAUGGGCGCAAGCCUGAUCCAGCAAUGCCGCGUGAGUGAGGAAGGCCUUAGGGUUGUAAAGCUCUUUUACCCGGGAUGAUAAUGACAGUACCGGGAGAAUAAGCUCCGGCUAACUCCGUG
rnacentral:rRNA from 1 species